UUUCCGGCUGCCUUGUUAGGAUGAAUAUCAUCCCCAAAGCCGCCCACAUCAGCGCUCGGCCUACGAGGGCUUCCCUACAAAUCUCUCUUCUCCCCAUGCUCACGCACAACUGAGCCUGCACGCUCAACGUUAUAGACACUCUACUAGGAUACACACUCCGUUUCUGGUUUCCUCUCUUUACAUUAACCGCGCCCUUUCACAGAGGCUCUACUCUAACCAUCCUCUACUCUGCUCACCCCACCGCCUCUCCUCAGCCGCACCACCCCCUACCCUAUCCCGACGCCCACCCCCCUCACAUCGUCCAAGACGCUUUCCCCCUCCAGCUGCCCGGCUCCAUUGAUGUUGCCAAAAAGGAAACCGGUUAGAGAAAAUGGGCCGCCUCCAGCAGAAUCUUCAUCGCUGUCCGUGUCUGACAUGAUGGCGCUGGUAGUGUCUCCGGCGGCUACAGGCAGCAGCAAAUCCCAGCCAGGUCCCAUAGACCGGAAAUAAAAACAUCAGUCGCCCAGAAGUGACUUACAGGGCUCCUUGACCUCACCAGGCCCUACCGGAUGUGGAAAGGGGUGGUGGUGGGAAUAACCGGAAAGACGGGCGGUCCUACGAAAAAGGAAAAUUGGUUGCACUACUUUACUAACGGCUUCUGAUUCGACCAUACGCGAUCAGGAGGUUGGGUAUGUGGAAAGCGGUUGGUCAAAGAAAACGUUUGGUCCCGCCCCCUUUAACUUAUCUGAGCAACAGCAUUCUCUGUGCGUUGGGUAGAGCCACAGCUGUUUCUCCAAUCAUAAGGAGCUGCCUGGGUCACGUAGCCUACGCCCUAGUGACUGCGACUCACCACGGCCGUGGUACGCGGAAGUGAAGGUUAGAAGCAGGCUUUUCCUUCGUCCAGCUGUUUUGCCGCUUCGUGUUAAGGAGAAACUGGCCAUCAAUCGCACUGUGCCAGAGAGAGAGCGAAAGAGAGGCAGAGACACAGGCAGAGAGAGAAGCAGGCUCCAUGCAGGGAGCCCGACGUGGGACUCGAUUCCGGGUCCCCAGGAUCACACCCCGGGCUGCAGGCGGCGCUAAAUCGCUGCGCCACCGGGGCUGCCCUCCUUCUACAUUUAUUAAGUGGACUUACUCAGUAAAGAACUUGCUCUUA